CUCACCCUUGACAGGUGUGGGACCCAGGCUGGUAGCAUGAGCUGAGUACAGCCUGCCAGGCCGAGUGGGCAAAACAGGCCCAGUGGGCCCAGGCAAAACUCAGAUGAAGGUGCAACUGGCCACAGAAGUUUCCAGCCAGAAAAACAACACCCCAAGGAUCCUGUAACAGUAGGUGGUUUUUGUAUUGCAUCAGGAAGCAGACAUUGCCAAGCAAGAGAAGACAACUCCUUCUUAGCCUUUUGUUUGCAAUAACCUUGGCUCAGUGAGAGUUAUGUAGAAAGUAAAAGGCUGAUUGGAGUUUGGCUUCUUAUUUCUCUCUGGACAACUGUGGCGGAGAAUACAACCAUCCUAUGCAUAACAGCCUCUUUCUAGCUGAACAAGCAGCCUGCACUACCAUUCCAUUAUGAGAAGACCUAGGUAGCCUGGGUGUUCAUCCAGCAGCAGUCUGUGGGUCACUACAUGCGGUGAGCACACAUGUACCAGGUAGGCUGUACUGGAUGCCGAGGUUCCAUAAUCUCUGCCGUUGAGGAGCUCAGUGUCUAGCAGGAGAACCAGAAAGGAAUGUGGAUUUUCAUGAGUGGAGGAGUGUUUGGCAGUAUAAAGAUCUUUGGAUAAUCUGGAGAGUGGAGAAACCUGUUUGGGGCACCAGAAGCCUGGGAAUUAAGGCAGAACACUGGGGAACUCGUCUCUCUCCCUCUCUCUCUGUGUGUGUGUGUGUGUAUGACGAUGAGGGGGCAAAUUGCCAAGAGUUGUAAGAGUGGCAAAACAAAGUGGAUCAUACAGAUCCAAAGAGAAAUUUGGUUCCUACUCUCUCUUAGCUAGGGUUUUCCAUGUCCUCAAUUGUCCUUCGUAUCUUUAUUUAAGAAAGAAUUAAAACUGUACAGCUCAAGGAGUGUCCAGACUCCCAAAUCCACAACUACUGAGUAGCCUGCCUUCCUCAUUCUAGGUCCAUCUGAAAUCUCCUGGUUUUCCCAGUAUACUGACCUGAUCUUCAGAAAGAGGAACUGUGUGCACCGGGAUGGGCUGCCAGAGUAGGGUAGGAUUCCAGAUGCUGACACCCUCUGGGGGAAACAGGGCUGCCAGGUUUGUCAUAGCACUCAUCAAAGUCCGGUCAAUGUCUGUGCUUCGAAUAUAAACCUAGAGUAGGAAAAUCAAAGCAGAAGCGAACAUAAAGGGAACAUGAGGUUUUUUUCUACAGAGCUGCCAAGGUAUUAGAGAAAGGACAGGACACCCACAGUGAAAUACUACAGACAUUGUGCUAACAUCAGAAUCAUAAUACUUGUUAAGGAAUGAGCAAUAUUAUGAUCAUGGUACAAAGCAACCUGGUUGGCCAAUAGUUGAAUUGACAAAUGAGAUCAAUUAAGCAGUGGCUACUUGUCAAGCCAAAGUAUUUAUUCAGGUGUUCAUAAAAUCUUGAAAUUACUCAUAUUCACAAAUUUUUUGGAAUAAAAAGUUACAUAAAGAGGAAUAUAUUUGUAAACAAGAUCUCUGACUUGUAUAAGUUCCUCGGAAAACAGGCAAAGCACUUUUAUAUAUGCAGAAUUAUUUUAAUUAUUUCAAAGAUCAAAGUUCCCACUCUUGGCUCCCCAACUUGCCUGUUCAUGUUUAUAGGACUCAUUCAAGAAUUUUCUAUAUCUUUUUCUUAUAUACUCUCCAAGUUCAUAAUGCUGCUCCAUGCCCAGCUAUGGGAAAAAAAUAAAAGCAAAAAUUAAUGAAAG